rnacentral:rRNA from 1 species
AUUGAACGCUGGCGGCAUGCCUUACACAUGCAAGUCGAACGGUAACGGGCCUUCGGGUGCCGACGAGUGGCGAACGGGUGAGUAAUGUAUCGGAACGUACCUUUCAGUGGGGGAUAACGUAGCGAAAGUUACGCUAAUACCGCAUAUUCUGUGCGCAGGAAAGCAGGGGAUCGCAAGACCUUGCGCUGAUUGAGCGGCCGAUAUCAGAUUAGCUAGUUGGUGAGGGAAAGGCUCACCAAGGCGACGAUCUGUAGCGGGUCUGAGAGGAUGAUCCGCCACACUGGAACUGAGACACGGUCCAGACUCCUACGGGAGGCAGCAGUGGGGAAUUUUGGACGAUGGGGGCAACCCUGAUCCAGCCAUGCCGCGUGAGUGAAGAAGGCCUUCGGGUUGUAAAGCUCUUUCGGCCGGGAAGAAAUCGUAUCAGCUAAUACCUGGUGCGGAUGACGGUACCGGCAUAAGAAGCACCGGCUAACUACGUGCCAGCCGCCGCGGUAAGAC